CGCGGGGUAGAGCAGCUGGUAGCUCGUCGGGCUCAUAACCCGAAGGUUGCCGGUUCGAAUCCGGUCCCCGCAA
rnacentral:tRNA from 1 species